CAGUCCGGUCCCGCGGUGUCUCCG
rnacentral:miRNA from 1 species